rnacentral:lncRNA from 1 species
CUGUAUAUUAAGAAUAACCAUAGGACAUUUUCCUAGCUUGUGUCCUGAAAAAAACAAGUAGCCUAGCUGGAUAAUUAAUUGAGGUUAAUAAAAAGGGUUUAAACUUAUACAUUACAUAUGCAUUUCCUAGAAUUAAUGAAUACUUGUGAUAAUGGUUAACACAUUAUGAUCAUGUUUAUUGACAAGAAUUAUAUUUGGAAUAUGAGUAUUAAUUUUAAGUGUCUUGUUUAUUUUCAAAUUUAGAUUUAAGAAUAUUAGUCUGAGGAUUAUAAAAUGACUUAAUAGUUUGAAUUAUAAUUAUAAUCUCGGGAUUAUAAUCUUAAGUUAUGUUUGUUUACAAAGAUUAUACUUGAAAUAUAAAUAUUUAUUUCAAGUGUUUUGUUUGUUUUCAAAUUUAGACUUGACUAUUAAUCUACAAAUUAUAAAAUGACUUAAUAGUCUUUGGAUUAUAAUUAUAAUUCGGGAUAAUAAACUUAGAAUUAAUAGUCUUGGGAUUAUAAUCACAUAGAUUAUAAUCCUUACAAAUAAAUAUAACCUUAAAAUUAAUAAUCUUAAAAUUAUAAUCCUUGUAAAACAAACAUUGUUUAUGACUACAAUCUACAGAAAAAUAAAAAGAACAGAUAUACAUUAACCAUCUUAAUAACUAUUAAGAAUAACCAUAUGACAUUUUCCUAGCUUGUGACAUGAAACAAAACAAGUGGCCUACAUAAGAUUAACAGGAUUAACAGGAGUCGGAGUUGAAAAGAAGAUUCUUCAUUUUAAACAUUUACUCUUGCAUUAUAUAUGCAUUCUUAAGCACGGGUAUAUUUCUCAUAGUUAGUCAAAGACCAUAACUAGGCUGUUCUUGGACAACUCAGGGAGAAAAAAAAUGAAAAAAAAAAAGAGAAGAAGACAGAUAUACAUUAACUAUAUGUUAAGAAUAUAUAUUUAUAUAUAUAAUUUUUUUACAGCUUGUGACAUGAAACAGAUGGUCUAGCUACAAAGAUUAAAAUAGGGCUUAAAUUUAUACCAUAUACUGAUAUACAUUUCCUAAACAUGGGUAUUUCUCAUUAUACUACUACAUAACAUAUAUAACUAGGGUUUGGUAGACAAUUUAAAGGAAAAAUUAAGAUAAAUAGCCGUAUGUUUCUGACCCAGCGGCGAUAACUCUUGCAUCAUGAUUCCAUGAGGUUAAUGGUUCGAUUCUUUAGGUGUUUGAGUAUUCUUUAGGGGUGUGUGUACGCGAAAAUUAGCAAAAAAAUAAUAAAAAAAAUUAGGACAAAUAUACUCCAUCCAUUCUAAAAAGCCAAUUUAAAAUAUAUUUAAAUUUAAAAUUGACAUGAUUCAUUUAACUUCUUAAAACAAUAAAUCUUAUAAAUUAGUAGUACUUUUUAUGUAGUUUAUGAUAUUCACAAUUAUAUAUAUUGAGAUAAAUUAAACGAAUUAAUUUAAUUUUGAAUUUAAAAAUAUUUAAAAUUGACUUGUAUAUAUAUCAUAUGGUUAGGAAUAUUAAUAAUUUAACACAAUGAACUAUAUGCAUGUACUCACAAAUACUCACAUUAUGCUAUAUAUAUAUGGGCAGAUGUAGAUUUGGUUUCAGAUUAAUCAAACAGUGUACAAUCUUUUUUGAGAACAAAAAGUGUACAAUCUGGUUGAGUUAUGUAGGAUUUUAUUGUAUACUAUAUAGUAAUAUAAAAUAAUUACUACUAAUUAACAUGGCCUAGAUGGGAAAUAAUUUCCAUAUGCUAGCUAAGUUUUGUAACUUUUAUGUUGUCAUAUACUGUACUCCAUUUGAGUAGUUUCAUCAAAUGUUUCAUUGGAAGAUGGGGGUUAAAUUUAAGUUGCAACAGAUUUUUCAGUACUACCCUUGUUACACGUGUACAGAUAAGAUGUGAGUCUCAUACAAUAAAUCUGAUAAUUCUGGGUGAUGGAGUCAUUUCCCAGAAGCAUACCCAGUANNNNNNNNNNNNNNNNNNNNNNNNNNNNNNNNNNNNNNNNNNNNNNNNNNNNNNNNNNNNNNNNNNNNNNNNNNNNNNNNNNNNNNNNNNNNNNNNNNNNAAAAGUGCACCAGCCGUACCGGUCGUUAGCAGUACCGGACGCCCCCUCCCCUCCCCUCCUCCAAUUACACAAAUACACACAUUAUGCUAUAUAUGGGCAGAUGUAGAUUUGGUUUCAGAUUAAUCAAACAGUGUACAAUCUUUUUUGAGAACAAAAAAUGUACAAUCUGGUUGAGUUAUGUAGGAUUUUAAUGUAUACUAUAUAGUAAUAUAAAAUAAUUACUACUAAUUAACAUGGCCUAGAUGGGAAAUAAUUUCCAUAGGCUAGCUAAGUUUUGUAACUUUUAUGUUGUCAUAUACUGUACUCCAUUUGAGUAGUUUCAUCUCAAAUGGUUCGUUGGAAGAUGGGUGUUAAAUUUAAGUUGCAACAGAUUUUUCAGUACUACCCUUGUUACACAUGUACAGAUAAGAUGUGAGUCUCAUACAAUAAAUCUGAUAAUUCUGGGUGAUGGAGUCAUUUCCCAGAAGCAUACCAGUACAGUAGUACUAAUAAUAUUAUGCUACUAUUAUUUAUCUGCAAAGAAAACAUCAAAUCUUGAAAACAGAAACCCUAACAAAGAAGUAGAUCAAUAAGAAGAAGAUAGUUUACUUGGUUCAGACUUUAUAAUUUACAAUACUACCCUCCAUGAUAUAAUAUUAAGAACUUAAUGUAAAUCAAUCAAUCAAUUAGCUAGCUAAUAUAAUAUCACAUAAAAUACCACACAACAAAUUAAAUCAAAUCAAAUGUACGCCCACAUAAACUAUACAGAUAUGAACAAUAUAAGGAAUAUGCAUGGCUCCUCAUACGCCAUCCACGGAGCCAUCGAUGUGCCGGUGGGAUCUGCAAAUGGCAUACAGGGAGCCAGGCAUAUAUGUAUAUACAUCUUUAUGCAUGUAUGUAUGUAUGUAUCCAUUGAAUUAAUUCAUGCUCAAAAUUGUUUGACAUAUGUAUGUAUAUUUGGAAGUGCUCGAAAUUUCUCCAUUUGUCAUGUUGAACAAAUAGGGAAAUUCGUAGCGCAAUAGAAAGGAUAUUUGUGCUCCAAAUUUGUCCGUUUGCGCAUCACAAAUGGAGAAAUUUGGAGCGCAAAUAUCAUUUAAUUUCCUAUAUGUUUUGUAUAUCAGUAGAUGUAAUUAAGUUAUAACUAACAAAUUACCUCAAAUCAGGAUCACUGCAAGCAAGAUCAAGAAGGAUAAGUAAAGGGUUUGGAAUAUAUAUUUGGGAGGAUCGAGAAUUAAGAAGGAAGAGAUUUAGAAGAUCAAAUUGAGUGCCAAAAUGAAAUGGAAAAUGAAGGUUUUUAUAAGCCCAAAUAUUAAUUACUCCUUUUAUCUCAACAAAUGAAAUGAUGAAACCCCCUGCCUUUUGAAUUGGCAUAAAUUUGAUCUGCUAAUCUUUGUGGGGGAUUUUUGUGAGAUAAAGAAGGAAG